rnacentral:rRNA from 1 species
CCUACGGGAGGCAGCAGUGGGGAAUAUUGCACAAUGGGCGCAAGCCUGAUGCAGCCAUGCCGCGUGUGUGAAGAAGGCCUUCGGGUUGUAAAGCACUUUCAGCGGGGAGGAAGGCGUUAAGGUUAAUAACCUUGGCGAUUGACGUUACCCGCAGAAGAAGCACCGGCUAACUCCGUGCCAGCAGCCGCGGUAAUACGGAGGGUGCAAGCGUUAAUCGGAAUUACUGGGCGUAAAGCGCACGCAGGCGGUCUGUCAAGUCGGAUGUGAAAUCCCCGGGCUCAACCUGGGAACUGCAUUCGAAACUGGCAGGCUAGAGUCUUGUAGAGGGGGGUAAAAUUCCAGGUGUAGCGGUGAAAUGCGUAGAGAUCUGGAGGAAUACCGGUGGCGAAGGCGGCCCCCUGGACAAAGACUGACGCUCAGGUGCGAAAGCGUGGGGAGCAAACAGGAUUAGAUACCCUUGUAGUC